UGAGGAAUAUUGGUCAAUGGUCGAGAGACUGAACCAGCCAAGUCGCGUGAAGGAAGACGGUCCUAUGGAUUGUAAACUUCUUUUUUUAGGGAAUAAAGUGUGGGACGUGUCCUAUAUUGUAUGUACCUAACGAAUAAGCAUCGGCUAACUCCGUGCCAGCAGCCGCGGUAAUACGGAGGAUGCGAGCGUUAUCCGGAUUUAUUGGGUUUAAAGGGUGCGUAGGCGGGCUUUUAAGUCAGCGGUGAAAGGUUUGGGCUCAACCCGGACACUGCCGUUGAAACUGAUAGUCUUGAGUGCAAAUGAGGUAGGCGGAAUGUGUUGUGUAGCGGUGAAAUGCAUAGAUAUAACACAGAACUCCGAUUGCGAAGGCAGCUUACUGGGAUGCAACUGACGCUGAUGC
rnacentral:rRNA from 1 species